rnacentral:tRNA from 2 species
GCUGAUGUAGCUCAGUUGGUUAGAGCACUCGGCUCAUAUCCGAGUGGUCGUGGGUUCAAGUCCCUCCAUCAGCA